UACGGGGGGGGCAAGCGUUGUUCGGAAUUACUGGGCGUAAAGGGCUCGUAGGUGGUCAACUAAGUCGGACGUGAAAUCCCUCGGCUUAACCGGGGAACUGCGUCCGAUACUGGAUGACUUGAGUUCGGGAGAGGGAUGCGGAAUUCCAGGUGUAGCGGUGAAAUGCGUAGAUAUUGGGAGGAACACCAGUGGCGAAGGCGGCUACCUGGACCGGUUCUGACGCUGAGGCGCGAAAGCGUGGGUAGCAAACAGG
rnacentral:rRNA from 1 species